rnacentral:tRNA from 1 species
ACCUUCGGGGUGUAGUGGUCAGCAUGCUCGACGAGUAAUCGAGAGGUCCGUGGUUCGAGUCCUGGCAAAGGCA